rnacentral:lncRNA from 1 species
AGUCCCGGUUUCAGCACCUCCGGCGCUGGACAGCUCUCUGCACGCCGCACCGCCGCCUGCUUGCUUUUUCCCACUCUCGCUUUGCAUUACUGGAGAUGCAUCUAAAUUACAUCCUGUUCAACAACAAGAACGAGUCUUUGGGAACGUGGUCCACCCAGGGAUGUAAAACUGUGCUUACCGAUGCAUCCCAUACGAAAUGCUUAUGUGAUCGUCUCUCUACCUUCGCCAUUUUGGCUCAGCAACCUAGAGAAAUAAUCAUGGAAUCCUCUGGCACACCUUCAGUUACCCUAAUAGUAGGCAGUGGUCUUUCUUGCUUGGCCUUGAUUACCCUAGCAGUUGUCUAUGCAGCAUUAUGGAGGUACAUACGCUCUGAGAGAUCCAUAAUACUAAUUAACUUCUGCCUGUCUAUCAUCUCAUCCAAUAUCCUCAUACUGGUUGGACAGACUCAGACACAUAAUAAGAGUAUCUGCACAACCACCACUGCAUUUUUGCACUUUUUCUUCCUGGCUUCAUUCUGUUGGGUUUUGACUGA